AUUGAACGCUGGCGGCAUGCCUUACACAUGCAAGUCGAACGGUAACAGGUCUUCGGAUGCUGACGAGUGGCGAACGGGUGAGUAAUGCAUCGGAACGUGCCCAGUAGUGGGGGAUAGCCCGGCGAAAGCCGGAUUAAUACCGCAUACGACCUGAGGGUGAAAGGGGGGGAUCGCAAGACCUCUCGCUAUUGGAGCGGCCGAUGUCAGAUUAGCUAGUUGGUGGGGUAAAGGCCUACCAAGGCAACGAUCUGUAGUUGGCCUGAGAGGACGACCAGCCACACUGGGACUGGGGCACGGGCCAGACUCCGACGGGAGGCAGCAGUGGGGAAUUUUGGACAAUGGGCGCAAGCCUGAUCCAGCAAUGCCGCGGGCAGGAAGGAGGCCUUCGGGUUGUAAACUGCUUUUGUCAGGGAAGAAAUCUUCUGGGUUAAUACCUCGGGAGGAUGACGGUACCUGAAGAAUAAGCACCGGCUAACUACGUGCCAGCAGCCGCCGCAGUAA
rnacentral:rRNA from 1 species